AGAAGCAGAGAGGAAGAGUUGACUCUGAGGUCAAAGCCAUGUUUGUUUAGAAACAAACAAUAAAGCAUAAAUACAGAAUCAUGAAUUCAAUGUUCUUCAUGAAACUUUUAAAUCAUCACACAAAUACGGACGUAAGGAAUCUCUUGCAGCAGCAUCUAGUGGUCAAUCACUUUUUACUUUCAGCAGAAGGAAGGAAGUGAAAGAAUAGACUACUUUUUAAAAGUCAAGCCCUAAUAUACCACAGAGAUUAAAAGAGGAAGCAGAAGUGUGUAAACGGUUUGUCGACAUACAUGUGUGUCUGGAGUUCAGCAGAGUGGUUGGUAAGAGCCUGAGAAAGGAGUUCUACGGAGCGCUUGACCAUCAUAGUCCCAGGCUCAUGGAAAUCUUUAAAGCAAAGAGAGGUCUCACAGGGCAGGUCCUGGCUGACAUUAUGUGACAAACAAAGGCUUCAGAUGUGAUGGGGGUCAGAAGCCUUGUCCUCAAAGGGCUUCCUGUUUUUCUUGGGGAUGAUCCAUCUGCCUUUUUCAAGACCUGUUUUGAUACUGAUGAUGAGGAACGUCUGUACACAUGCUGUCCCUUCACCAUGAUGCAUCCUUGUUGUGAAUCAUCUUGGAGGGAAAUAUUGUGAUCACUGCUGAGAAUCUGCCCCAGGCCAUGUACAUAGUCUUUGGACUCACCUAUGCACUGCAUCUCACCUACCCAAAGUACAUGAAGAACACUUUUGAUUUUUUAACAGGUCCUUCUUAACUUAGGUAAGACAGUACUUAAGCCUAAACUUCAAACACUCAAGAAUCAGCUUGCAGUGUAAGGUCCAGAAUAUCCUCUUCCCAAGUUGUCAAAUGUUGUUUGUUUUUGUGUUUUUUUUAAUUAAAGCUCAAGUAGGUUUUUUACAUAUUUGUUUAAACUGUCAAUUGUCCUGACAGUAUAAAUUGGAAGGAGAAAGAGAAGUGCAGAUUUUUUUUUUUUUUCACAGAUUAUCUGUCUCAUGUUAUACUGUCAGGACAGUAGAAAUUUUUUUAUUUAAAAGUAACAGGAUAUAUUACUGUUUUAUUCUUUACCUUUUGUUCUCUCACACAGGCUUUUUUUUUUUUAUUUAAUUUAGAAAAUUAUUUAAACUUGAGUUCAAAAUUGUAAAGAGGUUGAACAGAGAGUAU